AACGCGAAGAACCUUACCUGGGCUUGACAUGUGCUUGACCGCACCUGAAAGGGUGUUUUCUGUAGCAAUACAGACAAGUUCACAGGUGCUGCAUGGCUGUCGUCAGCUCGUGUCGUGAGACGUCGGGUUAAGUCCUUGAACGAGCGCAACCCUUGCCGCUAGUUGCUCGGCGAAAGCAAGCACUCUAGCGGGACUGCCUUGGAAACAAGGAGGAAGGUGGGGAUGACGUCAAGUCCUCAUGGCCCUUAUGCCCAGGGCGACACACGUGUUACAAUGGCGAAAAACAGAGGGGAGCAAGACCGCGAGGUGGAGCAAAUCCCAGAAAGUUCGUCUAAGUUCAGAUUGUAGUCUGCAACCCGACUACAUGAAGUUGAAAUCGCUAGUAAUCGCAUAUCAGAACGAUGCGGUGAAUACGUUCCCGGGCCUUGUACACACCGCGUGUCU
rnacentral:rRNA from 1 species